rnacentral:pre_miRNA from 1 species
GAUUACGUGAGGCUGUGUUCAUGUGUGUGACUGAUAUGCCUACAGCACACACACACACACACACACACACACACACACACACACAC